AGCUUUAUAGUCAAGUUAUGAUAUUAGACUGCAAUUCUAAAGUAGGGGUUACCCUAAAGCUU
rnacentral:tRNA from 1 species